rnacentral:rRNA from 1 species
AGAGUUUGAUCAUGGCUCAGGAUGAACGCUGGCGGUCUGCUUAACACAUGCAAGUCGAACGGACUCUUCGGAGUUAGUGGCGGACGGGUGAGUAACGCGUGAGAAUCUACCUUCAGGACGGAGACAACAGUUGGAAACGACUGCUAACCCCCGAUGUACCGCAAGGGCAAAUAUUUAUAGCCUGAAGAAGAGCUCGCGUCCGAUUAGCUAGUUGGGGGGGUAAAAGCCCACCAAGGCGACGAUCGGUAGCUGGUCUGAGAGGACGAUCAGCCACACUGGGACUGAGACACGGCCCAGACUCCUACGGGAGGCAGCAGUGGGGAAUUUUCCGCAAUGGGCGCAAGCCUGACGGAGCAAGACCGCGUGGGGGAGGAAGGCUCUUGGGUUGUAAACCCCUUUUCUCUGGGAAGAACAAAAUGACGGUACCAGAGAAUCAGCUC